AUGAACGCUGGCGGCGCGCCUAACACCUGCAAGUCGAACGAUUAAAGCACCUUCGGGUGUGUAUCAAGUGGCGAACGGCUGAGUAACACGUGGGCAACCUGCCCCUUUCAUUGGGAUAGCCACGGGAAACCGUGGAUAAUACCGAAUACUUCGAGACUUCCGCAUGGAAGACUCGAGAAAGCUCCGGCGGAGAGGGAUGGGCCCGCGGCCUGUUAGCUUGUUGGUGGGGUAACGGCCUACCAAGGCAAUGAUGGGUAGCUGGGUUGAGAGACCGACCAGCCAGAUUGGGACUGAGACACGGCCCAGACUCCUACGGGAGGCAGCAGUGGGGAAUCUUGCACAAUGGGCGAAAGCCUGAUGCAGCGACGCCGCGUGCGGGAUGAAGGCCUUCGGGUUGUAAACCGCUUUCAGCAGGGACGAGGCGAAAGUGACGGCACCUGCAGAAGAAGCCCCGGCUAACUACGUG
rnacentral:rRNA from 1 species